rnacentral:rRNA from 1 species
GACGAACCGUGCGAACGUUGUUCGGAAUCACUGGGCUUAAAGGGUGCGUAGGCGGGCUGGAAAGUCAGGGGUGAAAUCCCACGGCUCAACCGUGGAAGUGCCUUUGAUACUGCCAGUCUCGAGGGAGGUAGGGGCGUGCGGAACUUCCGGUGGAGCGGUGAAAUGCGUAGAUAUCGGAAGGAACACCGGUGGCGAAAGCGGCGCGCUGGACCUCAACUGACGCUGAGGCACGAAAGCCAGGGGAGCAAACGGG